rnacentral:rRNA from 1 species
UAGGGAAUCUUCCACAAUGGGCGCAAGCCUGAUGGAGCAACGCCGCGUGAGUGAAGAAGGUCUUCGGAUCGUAAAACUCUGUUGUUAGAGAAGAACACGAGUGAGAGUAACUGUUCAUUCGAUGACGAUAUCUAACCAGCAAGUCACGGCUAACUACGUGCCAG